rnacentral:lncRNA from 1 species
UAUAAACACAAUACUAUAACUAAAAUUACAAUAUACAUGCACAGUAGUCAGUAUUAUGUAUCUCACCGAAAUGUGGGAACCAUCAAAAGAUUCGUAUAUAUAUGCCAUAUGGCUCCGAAAGUUUACAAUUCUAAUUUUAAAGAGCAAUCAACUUGUGAUAGCAAUAGCAGGCGCGGUUGUUAACGUGAACGCAAUACGAAUAAUUUCUAAUACAUUACCACAGUUCGGUGAGAUGUGAGACAAUACACACAAUCCAUCAAUAACAUUAACUUGGGUUAGGAUAUGUCAACAUAACUCUCAAAAAGUGUAAAAUUACUGUAGUACUAAUAUCCAUGAGUCAUGACAAGUCAUUGAAGAGGGCUGUGACCCUCAUUAGUGAGCUUAAGCAAGUGACGUUUUUGACAACACUGACGACAUGAGCAACGUCAGAAGACUGGGUCAAGGACUGUGAUUGGUGAAAAACGUCAACUUUAC